rnacentral:misc_RNA from 1 species
GUACUGUUUUUGCUUUGGUUGCUUUCUUUCUUCAAUCGAUGCCACCCAGUUGCCUUCUUCAUUUCUUUGAUAUAUCUUUUUGCGGUUCACGAGAGGUAUGUUAUGAGAUUGAGGAGGAAAUUGCAGUUCCAUGAAAGAAAGCAAGCCAAUCAGAAAAGAGUGCUCUCUGAUUCUGAAACUGUUCGUUGGUUGAACCAUGCUGUGGAAAAGAUAUGGCCCAUUUGUAUGGAGAAUAUUGUAUCGCAGAAGAUUCUACUCCCG